UACCAGCUCUCCGAGUAGUGUGGAUGUUUAUUGGGCCUAAAGCAUCCGUAGCUUGCUAAAUAAGUCCCCUGUUAAAUCCACCGAUUCAAUCGUUGGAUUGCGGAGGAUACUGUUUGGCUAGGGGACGGGAGAGGCCGACGGUAUUUCUGGGGUAGGGGUGAAAUCCUAUAAUCCCAGGAAGACCACCAGUGGCGAAGGCUGUCGGCUAGAACGCGCCCGACGGUGAGGGAUGAAAGCUGGGGGGAGCGAACCGGAUUAGAUACCCGGGUAGUCCCAGCUGUAAACGAUGCAGGCUAGGUGUUUGGGCGGCUACGAGCCGCUCUAGUGCCGCAGGGAAGCUGUUAAGCCUGCCGCCUGGGGAGUACGGCCGCAAGGCUGAAACUUAAAGGAAUUGGCGGGGGAGCACCACAGGGGGUGAAGCUUGCGGUUU
rnacentral:rRNA from 1 species